GUCCGGCUAGCUCAGUCAGUACAGCAUGAGACUCUUAAUCUCAGGGUCGUGGGUUCAUGCCCCACAUUAGAUG
rnacentral:tRNA from 1 species